rnacentral:rRNA from 1 species
UGCGUAGGCGGCGGAGUAAGUUGGGUGUGAAAUCCCGGGGCUUAACCUCGGAAUUGCAUUCAAUACUGCUUCGCUUGAGUACUGGAGAGGAGGCUGGAAUUUACGGUGUAGCAGUGAAAUGCGUAGAUAUCGUAAGGAAGGCCGGUGGCGAAAGCGAGCCUCUGGACAGUUACUGACGCUGAUGCACGAAGGCCAGGGAGGCAAACG